rnacentral:lncRNA from 1 species
ACUGUGGAACAGCAGCCGUCUUCAUGGAAUGGAUGGCUUCCUCUUGAUUUGAACAAUGUGGUAUCUUUGAAGGAAAAGGGAGACGCGGGGUUGACUUCUCAACAAGAUGAUGGAAAGCGAAAUUUUCAAUUUCCAUUCUUCUGGAUACCUUAUAAGCCUCAUGACACAGAACGAGAAAAUCAGGAGGUGAAGGAUGGCCAUGCAAAACUGAGCUUGGAACCAGAGAAGGGGUCUGGUGGUGAUCAUGUCGAUGGAGGAGAUGCUGGCAACCAUUCCGCUUCAAGGGUGAAAGAUAUACCAGUGAAGGAAGUUGAACAACAUGUCGGAAAAGAGAGUUCCAUAAACUUGGAAAAAGAAGGGGAUACCUCUGCAAAAAUCAGGACUGACAAUGGUGAGAAGAGAAACAAUGAGGUUGAAAGGGUACCUUCUGUAGAAGGUUCAAAGAAAAAGUCUCCGUCUCCACCAAAACCAUCCAAGUUACCUCCUGUCUGCCUGAGAGUUGAUCCUUUGCCA